rnacentral:tRNA from 1 species
GCCUGGGUGGCUCAGUCGGUUAAGCGUCUGACUUUGGCUCAGGUCAUGAUCUCAUGGUUUGUGAGUUUGAGCCCCACACUGGGCU